GAUCCUGGCUCAGGAUGAACGCUAGCUACAGGCUUAACACAUGCAAGUCGAGGGGCAGCAUGGUCUUAGCUUGCUAAGGCCGAUGGCGACCGGCGCACUGGUGAGUAACACGUAUCCAACCUGCCGUCUACUCUUGGACAGCCUUCUGAAAGGAAGAUUAAUACAAGAUGGCAUCAUGAGUUCGCAUGUUCACAUGAUUAAAGGUACUCCGGUAGACGAUGGGGA
rnacentral:rRNA from 1 species